rnacentral:rRNA from 1 species
UACGAAGGGGGCUAGCGUUGUUCGGAAUUACUGGGCGUAAAGCGCACGUAGGCGGAUAUUUAAGUCAGGGGUGAAAUCCCAGAGCUCAACUCUGGAACUGCCUUUGAUACUGGGUAUCUCGAGUAUGGAAGAGGUGAGUGGAAUUCCUAGUGUAGAGGUGAAAUUCGUAGAUAUUAGGAAGAACACCAGUGGCGAAGGCGGCUCACUGGUCCGGUACUGACGCUGAGGUGCGAAAGCGUGGGGAGCAAACAGG